GGAAGUAUGCUUACAGAAGUGAAAGACAAGAGGCCGCCUACCAAAAGGGAUGGAAGAACAGAGGGAACUGAAUGCGCAAAGCUCCCAAGGAAGGGGAGUAUGGCCAGAAUGAAGUACUGAAAGAAGGUUGGCACUGAUUCCCUUACGUAUUCAGUCUUCUGACGCGUAAUCAAUGCUCGUUGUGUACCAGACACUGUUCUCGGUAGGAGGGACACAAAAGUGACCACACAGGAAUGUAUUGUCUACAGUCCCAGGUUUCAAGGAAAACUCCCCUGAGCUAAGUCAUGAAGAAUGGAUGCCAGAGAAUGGCUAAGAUAUGCCAAGGGAAUGUUCCAAACAAGAGCAUUCUGUUAUAUACAUAUACAACACCAACACCACAGUUUAUUCGACCACUCUAUGUAAGAGACUGCAAAAACUGGCCCAUCAAUAACCCUGCAUAUGGAGUUUCGUAUUUUUGAAGCUGUGCCUUCAGGGAAAAUUCCUACAACUGAAACUGACAGGUCAAAAGGCAAAUGCACAUGCAGGGCUGUGCUGGAUACCACCAAAUUCUCAAAAAGGGCUGGACCGGUUUACCUCACCAGGAGUGGAUGUGUCUGCUUCCUCACGGCCUCACCAGCAGGACCGACUGCUAUACUUUAAUUUCUGUCUACUAAAAAUUGCAUCUAGGUGUAUUUUAAUUUCCAUUUCUCUAAUGAUGAGUUUGAAAUCGUUUCCUGUGUUUAGGGACCAUUUUGAUAUUUUGGGGGUGGUCAUCUUUAAUGUAUUUUGAUCAUUCUUCUGUCAGGUUACUGCACUUUACUUUCUCAGUUUUUAAGAGUUAUUUACAUAUUAGAGAUCUUGGUCCUUUCUUUACCUUGGUAUGUUACAGAUAUUUUCUUCUAGUCUGUCCGCUGUCUUGACUGUAUGGUUUUUGCCAUGCAAAAAAAAAAUUGUUUUUAUGUAAUAAAAUUUAUCAAUCUUG